rnacentral:rRNA from 1 species
GAUGAACGCUGGCGGCGUGCCUAAUACAUGCAAGUCGAGCGAAAAGACGAGAAGAUUGCUCCUCUGACGUUAGCGGCGGACGGGUGAGUAACACGUGGAUAACCUACCUAUAAGACUGGGAUAAUUUCGGGAAACAGGAGAUAAUAAUGGAUCAUAUAUUGAACCGCAUGGUGCAAGAGUGAAAGACGGUUUUGCUGACACUUUUAGAUGGAUCCGGGCCGGAUUAGCUAGUUGGUAAGGUAACGGCUUACCAAGGCAACGAUGCGUAGCCGACCUGAGAGGGUGAUCGGCCACACUGGAACUGAGACACGGUCCAGACUCCUACGGGAGGCAGCAGUAGGGAAUCUUCCGCAAUGGGCGAAAGCCUGACGGAGCAACGCCGCGUGAGUGAUGAAGGUCUUCGGAUCGUAAAACUCUGUUAUUAGGGAAGAACAAAUGUGUAAGUAACUAUGCACGUCUUGACGGUACCUAAUCAGAAAGCCACGGCUAACUACGUG